rnacentral:rRNA from 1 species
UACGGAGGAUGCAAGCGUUAUCCGGAAUCAUUGGGCGUAAAGGGUCCUGAGGUGGUUUGCUAAGUCUACUGUGAAAGAUCAGGGCUCAACCCUGAAAAUGCGGUGGAAACUGGCAGGCUAGAAUACGGUAGGGGCAGGGGGAAUUCCCGGUGUAGCGGUGAAAUGCGUAGAGAUCAGGAAGAACACCAGUGGCGAAGGCGCUCUGCUGGGCCGACACUGACACUGGGAGACGAAAGCUAGGGGAGCGAAUGGG